rnacentral:lncRNA from 1 species
AAAAACUUUGCCGGUAACUGUUGUCACCACUGUCCAUGGUGGCCAAAAAUGACAGUUCUAGAAUUCAGUAAUUUCACAUUGAAUCAUCUUAAAUUCUAUAAAGUUUCCAAUUCACCCAUAUUUUUUUACAAGUCAUGUCAUUAUCUAAUAAAAUCUUCAAUUAAUCUAGCAAUUGAGCAAUGAAUAUCUCGACCCUUUGAUGUUUUCUGUCAUCCACAAUUGGCCGAUCAAGCAUCACUGAAGAUGCGACUAUCUACAUGGCAGUUGGAGAAACGGGUGCCAAUCACUGAACCAAAGGCCGUAGGUGGAGAAGACAAAGUUGUUUGAUAAUUUUAUGGGUAAAGAGAAGACCAGACUCAACUUCUCUGGUCACAUCUUUUCCGGAAAUCAGAUCGAGAAGGGGAAAAUGAAGAAAAUCGAGGAGAGAGGAUAGGGAGGUUAGGCGGUUUUUGAUUGCUCUUUUUCUCUCCUCUAUGAUUGAGUAGAAAUUUCUCUAGG